rnacentral:rRNA from 1 species
AGCAGCCGCGGUAAUUCCAGCUCCAAUAGCGUAUAUUAAAGUUGUUGCAGUUAAAAAGCUCGUAGUUGAAUUUCGGGAUUAGUACGUUGGUCGUGCCUUCGGUACGUACUGGUGUUACUGAUUCCUACCUUCUGACGAACCAUCAUGUCAUUAAUUUGGUGUGGUGGGGAAUCAGGACUGUUACUUUGAAAAAAUUAGAGUGUUUAAAGCAGGCUCGCGCUUGAAUACAUUAGCAUGGAAUAAUGAAAUAGGACGUUGACCCUAUUUUGUUGGUUUCUAGGAUUGACGUAAUGAUUAAUAGGGAUAGUUGGGGGCAUUAGUAUUCAAUUGUCAGAGGUGAAAUUCUUGGAUUUAUUGAAGACUAACUACUGCGAAAGCAUUUGCCAAGGAUGUUUUCAUUAAUCAAGAACGAAAGUUAGGGGAUCGAAGACGAUCAGAUACCGUCGUAGUCUUAACCAUAAACUAUGCCGACUAGGGAUCGGAUGAUGUUAUUUUUAAUGACUCA